rnacentral:rRNA from 1 species
UACGGAGGGUGCGAGCGUUAUCCGGAUUCACUGGGUUUAAAGGGUGCGUAGGUGGGAAUGUAAGUCAGUGGUGAAAUCUCUGAGCUUAACUCAGAAACUGCCAUUGAUACUAUGUUUCUUGAAUUUUCUGGAGGUCAGCGGAAUAUGUCAUGUAGCGGUGAAAUGCUUAGAUAUGACAUAGAACACCAAUUGCGAAGGCAGCUGGCUACAGGGAUAUUGACACUGAGGCACGAAAGCGUGGGGAUCAAACAGG